rnacentral:rRNA from 1 species
GAUAAACGCUGGCGGCGUGCUUAACACAUGCAAGUCGAACGAAGUUUUUCUUUCGGGAGGAACUUAGUGGCGGACGGGUGAGUAACGCGUGGGUAACCUGCCCUGUACAGGGGGACAACAGCUGGAAACGGCUGCUAAUACCGCAUAAGCCCUUAGCACUGCAUGGUGCAUAGGGAAAAGGAGCAAUCCGGUACAGGAUGGACCCGCGUCUGAUUAGCCAGUUGGCAGGGUAACGGCCUACCAAAGCGACGAUCAGUAGCCGAUCUGAGAGGAUGUACGGCCACAUUGGGACUGAGACACGGACCAGACUCCUACGGGAGGCAGCAGUGGGGAAUAUUGCACAAUGGAGGAAACUCUGAUGCAGCGACGCCGCGUGAGUGAAGAAGUAUUUCGGUAUGUAAAGCUCUAUCAGCAGGAAAGAAAAUGACGGUACCUGACUAAGAAGCACCGGCUAAAUACGUG